GGUGAACGCUAGCGGCAGGCCUAAUACAUGCAAGUCGAACGAGGUUUAGUAGCAAUACUAAACUUAGUGGCGCACGGGUGCGUAACGCGUAUGCAACCUACCUUUGGACAGGGGGAGUAGACUCCCGGAAACGGGAAGUUAACACCGCAUACUGUAUAUGAAUGGCAUCAUUUAUAUAUUAAAUCUACGGAGGUCAAGAUGGGCAUGCGUCUGAUUAGCUAG
rnacentral:rRNA from 1 species